UGGUUGCCAGUUUUUUCGUGCGCGGAGAAAAAAUUUAGCUCUUUUGGGAAAGAUAAUUUGGCAAAUUUUGUGUUUAAAUAUUAUAAAUUAUUUAUAAAAAACAAUAACUAGACAAGUGCCAAGUGUUGGAAAUUAUAAAACAUACACGAAUGACAAGACGUAACAGCUAAUAACAAGGCAAUAAGUCAGUGAAAUACGGUAUAGAUUACUUGCAAGCACGAAGGAAGAAAAAUCUUACACAAAAGUCAUUAAAUAAAAAAAGAAUGAGAGUAUAGAAGCAGAAAAAAGCAAGGAAAAUAUAUAUGCAAAAAAAGUGAGUGAUGAAGUGAAAAUCAAGCAAUAUAAAAUACAACAAAAUGUACAAAAAGAAGUGAAGUGUGUUCGUGUGUGGGUAAAGUGCGAUUGCAAAACUAAAUGUUAAUAGAUUUUUCGUUUUUUUUGGCAAAUACAAAAUGGUUUGGUGAAGUGGAGUCGGUGGCAAAACAAAUUAAGGGAUUCGGUUUUCCUCCUUUCAUUGUUUGUUGGUUAAUAUGCUUUAAUUAAAAACAAAAAAGAGGAAUAACAAAGAAAGAAGCUUGGUUAUAAAUUCUUAAAGAACGCGAAACGAUAAUAAAACUUUGCCAACCGACAACAGCAACAAAAACAAAGGGAGGUGGCAAAAAUGGAGUCGCGAUAAUUAUGGAUUACAGUGAAUAUAAAAAUAGGUUUAAUUUCCAGGAUUUGUGUACGCAAUUAAUGGAAUUUCAACAAUUACCACCUACAACAACGUAUCCCCCUCCUCCACAUCAAAUCGGCUGAUGUCGUCAUCUCAACAUCCAACUAGAAAGACACACAACCCCCCCAAAAUCUUUAAUGGGCAAUGUUAAAUAAUUGACCGGAUUCGUUUGACUGUCAGCCAGUAGAGGAGCGUUUUAUCAUCACUGGCGCAGUGUUAUCGCCAUCUCCAUACUAUCGUCAUCCACAUCAUCAUAAACGACACAGUAUCAUCAUUACAAUUACUCGACACAUUUUUCCUCUUUUCCGGAAUUGAUUUUCUUUAAUCGCCAAACUUAAUCGUCAACAGUCUAGAGCAGCUGCUUGCUGCUGCUGACAACUUUUUAAAAACGAAAACAAACCAUUGGAUUUACCAGUUGACUUCCAAUUCCAUUGCCUUCGUUUGGUGGUGGGGUAUCCUUUGGCGUUAUUGUGGGUGUUUACGACGACGACGACAGCACGACGAGUGAACGACCCUCGUCCGACAGAUUCGUCGUGUUUCCUUCUCGUACACCAAAAGAAAAAAAUUGUUUGCCGGAACAUAAAGGAGGUCCAUUAAAUAAGCAUCAGUAUCAACGUUUCGCAACGCUUUGUAUUUCCUUUUUUGACUCUUUGUUAUAUG
rnacentral:sRNA from 1 species